GCAAAGUUUGAGGGCGCCAUGUUUUCACGGGAAGACAGUGGAAGAUGAGUCGUUAAACUUGUUAAACAGUCGUUUAACAAGAAAAUGCGUUGAUGUGGAGCCAUAUGGUGUCCUCUCAGUGUGGAAAGCAGUACCUUGCACCAACUAGGACGCCUGACUGUGAAGAAUAUUGAAGGAUGUUGACUGAAGAAUUUGGUCUCAACAGUUUACACAAGGGUCGCAGGGAUGCUGGAGCCUAUCGGGCAAGAGGUGGGGUACACCCUGGACUGGUGUGUGUCCUGGUUCUCCUGAAGUCUACCACCAUUUCCCUGGUCUUGGUGGUGUUGAGGUGCAGGUUUUAUGUGUCCAAUUAUGUUACCAAUUGGCGAAGUCCUGGAUCGGUUUCUUUUAUCAACAUUUAAAGGCCCCCAUAUGAUGCAAAAUGAACAAUUUAAUGAUGUGUCUACAUAGUUCAUUAGCGUGAAAGCUACCUACACACAAAAUAGCAUGAAAAGCACUUUUAAACUGUGAUUUUGUCCAACAUAUUCUCAGUACAUUAUUGUGUAAAAUUUGAUUCAAUGUGGUGAAAAUCUGAUGUAAAUUUUGAACAAUUGUUACCAACAAAACAAUUGGCUACUAAUACACCAUUAUGUUCGAAUAAACCAUCGUAAGCUACCUACAUACUUUAGCACAGCCCGGUUAUCAUCAAUCUCAGGCUUCAGAUACCCUCCCCCCUUGAGUCCUUGUCUCUGUUUUUGGCUCUGUCUCUGUGCAAGUAGGAGGUCUCCUGAUACUCACCACUGGGGUAGCUCACUCCACAUUAAUGCAACAUCCCUCCGCAUUAAGACCUCUAUAUACCGUACAGUAUAUUCCUCUUCUUGUACACUGCAGUCCUCCCAUAAAAUCUUUAUGACCGCAUGCUGCAGUGAUCUAACAGAACCCCUGUAUUUUAGCUUGAAUGUGUUGUAUUUUCAUCUAAAUAAGAACUGACUCAGAAGCAAAUUUGAUUUCCUCUUGUAAGACCACACUCGAUUUUCUUUUUUGUUGUUGUUGUUUGUGCUUCUCUGCAUCCUUGCACUUUAGUCAAUGCUCCUGCAGCUGGAGCAUGUUCAGUUAAGGGUAAAAAUGGAGGUUGGUGACAGGAAAAUGACAAAUAAUCAGAAAGAAUUGCAUAUGCUGUGUGCAACUUUCCUGUGCCAUCCUGCGUAAGAUUAAAUCCAAAAAGGCGAUAGUUGACUGUUUGAGGGCCAAUGACUAUAAUUCAAAUAUCCUACAGCUGAAGCAAGUUCAGAUAAGAGUAAAAAAAAUGGCAGUUGGCUCAAUCAAAAUGACCAACAAAGCGGUGAUAAAAGUAUUGGGAUCCUACCAAACCAAAUAGCUUGAGUAGAAGGCGUGUUUAAAAGUUACGAGGCAAACAUGCUGUAGACUGUGCCAAAUCAAUUCCAUAUAACUAAACAUGAUCUCAAAAUUGAAGCUUUGCCAAGUUCAUUAAGUCCAAUAAUACUGUCUGCUUAUUUCAUAACAUAUAAUCAGCAUGUUUAUUAGAGAGCGAUGAGGGUAAAAAUUUGACUUUGAUUUAAAUUGCACGUGGGGUGAUUUCACCGCCUUAACUUGCCUUGUGGGAAAUCUCAUUUCAUAGAGAGUAAUAAACAUAUAUCAAUAGCCAAGUGGAAACAUCUCCACCGGAAGGUCGUUGGAGAUGAAAACACUCAACAUGUGACAUGUCAUGUCACGAUGAUAUGUUGUGUUAUGUUACAGUAUGUAAU